rnacentral:rRNA from 1 species
GAUGAACGCUGGCGGCGUGCCUAAUACAUGCAAGUCGAGCGAACGGACGAGAAGCUUGCUUCUCUGAUGUUGGCGGCGGACGGGUGAGUAACACGUGGAUAACCUACCUAUAAGACUGGGAUAACUUCGGGAAACCGGAGCUAAUACCGGAUAAUAUUUUGAACCGCAUGGUUCAAAAGUGAAAGACGGUCUUGCUGUCACCUAUAGAUGGAUCCGCGCUGCAUUAGCUAGUUGGUAAGGUAACGGCUUACCAAGGCAACGAUGCAUAGCCGACCUGAGAGGGUGAUCGGCCACACUGGAACUGAGACACGGUCCAGACUCCUACGGGAGGCAGCAGUAGGGAAUCUUCCGCAAUGGGCGAAAGCCUGACGGAGCAACGCCGCGUGAGUGAUGAAGGUCUUCGGAUCGUAAAACUCUGUUAUUAGGGAAGAACAUAUGUGUAAGUAACUGUGCACAUCUUGACGGUACCUAAUCAGAAAGCCACGGCUAACUACGUG